GCCUGGAUAGCUCAGUUGGUUAAAGCGUGGUGCUGAUAAUGUCAAGGUUGAAGGUUUGAUUCCCUACUCCUGUGUUGCA